CCCUUAGAUGUUCUGGGCCGCACACGCGCUACACUGAAGGAGGCAGCGUGUACUCCUGGAUCGAAAGAUUUGGGUAACCCGCGAAUCUCCUUCGUGCUAGGGAUUGAGGUUUGCAAUUAUCCUUCAUGAACGAGGAAUUCCCAGUAAGUGCAAGUCAUAAGCUUGCGCUGACUACGUCCCUGCCCUUUGUACACACCGCCCGUCGCUACUACCGAUUGAAUGAUUUAGUGAGCACUUCGGACUGGGACCGAUGCGGCUUUCGGGCUGCGUCGGUAUUCUGGAAAGAUGUCCAAACUGUAUCAUUUAGAGGAAGUAAAAGUCGUAACA
rnacentral:rRNA from 1 species